rnacentral:rRNA from 1 species
AUUGAACGCUGGCGGCAGGCUUAACACAUGCAAGUCGAGCGGAGCGAGGGUGCUUGCACCUUAGCUUAGCGGCGGACGGGUGAGUAAUGCUUAGGAAUCUGCCUAUUAGUGGGGGACAACAUUCCGAAAGGGAUGCUAAUACCGCAUACGCCCUACGGGGGAAAGCAGGGGAUCUUCGGACCUUGCGCUAAUAGAUGAUCCUAAGUCGGAUUAGCUAGUUGGUGGGGUAAAGGCCUACCAAGGCGACGAUCUGUAGCGGGUCUGAGAGGAUGAGCCGCCACACUGGGACUGAGACACGGCCCAGACUCCUACGGGAGGCAGCAGUGGGGAAUAUUGGACAAUGGGCGGAAGCCUGAUCCAGCCAUGCCGCGUGUGUGAAGAAGGCCUUUUGGUUGUAAAGCACUUUAAGCGAGGAGGAGGCUACUAGUAUUAAUACUACUGGAUAGUGGACGUUACUCGCAGAAUAAGCACCGGCUAACUCUGUGCCAGCCGCCGCGGUAAGAC